AACGAACGCUGGCGGCGUGCCUAACACAUGCAAGUCGUGCGAGAAAGUUCCUUCGGGAGCGAGUAAAGCGGCGCACGGGUGAGUAACACGUAGGUAACCUGCCCCCAGUCUGGAACAACUAGAGGAAACUCUAGCUAAUGCCGGAUGAGACCACGAUCCCUUCGGGGGUUGCGGCCAAAGGAUGGCCUCUACUUGUAAGCUAUCGCUGGAGGGAUGGGCCUGCGGGCCAUUAGCUUGGUUGGUGAGGUAACGGCUCACCAAGGCUGUGAUGGCUAGCUGGUCUGAGAGGAUGACCAGCCACACUGGGACUGAGACACGGCCAGACUCCUACGGGAGGCAGCAGUGGGGAAUAUUGCGCAAUGGGACGAAAGCCUGACGCAGCGACGCCGCGUGGGUGAUGAAGGCCU
rnacentral:rRNA from 1 species